rnacentral:rRNA from 1 species
ACGAACGCUGGCGGCAGGCCUAACACAUGCAAGUCGAACGCGAAGCUACCUUCGGGUAGUGGAGAGUGGCAGACGGGUGAGUAACGCGUGGGAAUCUACCCAAUGGUACGGAAUAACUCAGGGAAACUUGAGCUAAUACCGUAUGUGCCCGAAAGGGGAAAGAUUUAUCGCCAUUGGAUGAGCCCGCGUCGGAUUAGCUAGUUGGUGGGGUAACGGCCCACCAAGGCGACGAUCCGUAGCUGGUCUGAGAGGAUGAUCAGCCACACUGGGACUGAGACACGGCCCAGACUCCUACGGGAGGCAGCAGUGGGGAAUAUUGGACAAUGGGCGCAAGCCUGAUCCAGCCAUGCCGCGUGAGUGAUGAAGGCCCUAGGGUUGUAAAGCUCUUUCGACGGGGACGAUAAUGACGGUACCCGUAGAAGAAGCCCCGGCUAACUUCGU